GUUGAGCUCUACUUUGACCCCGCCCUUGAAAAUCAGGUACUCAAAGCCUGGAACGUACUCGCCCGCCGCCAGAUCAGCACCCAGCUCAUCGAGAUCGCCUCCCGCCCCCACAUCACCCUCCUUGCCGGCGCCUCCCUCGAUCCCGCCCGCCUCCACUCCGCCGUCCGCCUUCUCGCCGCCCGCCAGGAGCCGCUCCCCCUCACCCUCUCCUCCGUUGCCGCCUUCCCUGCCGCCGCCGGCGGACUCCUGUUUCUCGCCCCCGCGCCGUCGUCGGCGCUGCUGCAGCUCCACUCGCAGCUCUGCGAG
rnacentral:misc_RNA from 1 species